rnacentral:rRNA from 1 species
GCCCCGGUAAACGGCGGCCGUAACUAUAACGGUCCUAAGGUAGCGAAAUUCCUUGUCGGGUAAGUUCCGACCUGCACGAAUGGCGUAAUGAUGGCCAGGCUGUCUCCACCCGAGACUCAGUGAAAUUGAACUCGCUGUGAAGAUGCAGUGUACCCGCGGCAAGACGGAAAGACCCCGUGAACCUUUACUAUAGCUUGACACUGAACAUUGAGCCUUGAUGUGUAGGAUAGGUGGGAGGCUUUGAAGUGUGGACGCCAGUCUGCAUGGAGCCGACCUUGAAAUACCACCCUUUAAUGUUUGAUGUUCUAACGUGGACCCGUAAUCCGGGUUGCGGACAGUGUCUGGUGGGUAGUUUGACUGGGGCGGUCUCCUCCUAAAGAGUAACGGAGGAGCACGAAGGUUGGCUAAUCCUGGUCGGACAUCAGGAGGUUAGUGCAAUGGCAUAAGCCAGCUUGACUGCGAGCGUGACGGCGCGAGCAGGUGCGAAAGCAGGUCAUAGUGAUCCGGUGGUUCUGAAUGGAAGGGCCAUCGCUCAACGGAUAAAAGGUACUCCGGGGAUAACAGGCUGAUACCGCCCAAGAGUUCAUAUCGACGGCGGUGUUUGGCACCUCGAUGUCGGCUCAUCACAUCCUGGGGCUGAAGUAGGUCCCAAGGGUAUGGCUGUUCGCCAUUUAAAGUGGUACGCGAGCUGGGUUUAGAACGUCGUGAGACAGUUCGGUCCCUAUCUGCCGUGGGCGCUGGAGAACUGAGGGGGGCUGCUCCUAGUACGAGAGGACCGGAGUGGACGCAUCACUGGUGUUCGGGUUGUCAUGCCAAUGGCACUGCCCGGUAGCUAAAUGCGGAAGAGAUAAGUGCUGAAAGCAUCUAAGCACGAAACUUGCCCCGAGAUGAGUUCUCCCUGAGACUUAGAGUCUCCUGAAGGAACGUUGAAGACGACGACGUUGAUAGGCCGGGUGUGUAAGCGCAGCGAUGCGUUGAGCUAACCGGUACUAAUGAACCGUGAGGCUUAACCUUACAACGCCGAAG